GUUGAAGGAGUACAGGCAUACAGAGGCAUUCGACGACAAGCAGGCAGAGCCUCUGGCCUGCACAAAAGACUGCCAAAGUAUCGUUCGUGCGGCGAGGAGAGAGGACAUUAUCGGACACUCAAGUGGAUCGUCACACGUGAGUCCAGAGGGCACCAUUUCAAGUCUCCACAACUCAUGAUCUUGGGAAGUAGUUCCAAUGCACUAUUCAACCAUAGAGGCCUGCUCAUUUUGAUAACCCAUUAACAAGACUCCUACUCCCUCUGUCCUCAGACAGAUGCAUGGACCUGCAAAGAGAGAAGAAGACAUUAUAGAGAGGCUGUUCUUUGAGCCCCCCCCUCGCCUUUAUUAUGAUGCACACUACAGCAACACGCCUCUGCUUCUAAGACAUGAGACCGGCUCUGACUACAGGCUGUACAAGCCACCAUGAUUCAGCCUUUACAAGAACCGAGGAAAAACAGGAACAAACACAGAAAAAAAAACCUCCAAAAACCUCCAACAUAACAUAAAGACAGGAGCCAGGCUGAAUUCAUAAAGAUCUCAGCGGGAGCAGAUUGGUGUUGUGGCCCUGGCCCUCUACAAUCUGAAGGACCUAACACAAUUCAUACUCUCAUCAAUUAGGAAUAGAAGAAGCUAUUCGCCACCAAAUGUGCCAUUUAUAUGGGCGAUGUCAGCCAAAGUACUGCUAAUCAUUAGCAGUUUAAUUGCAGACAUGGUUGGAGAGUUAAAUGGCGCUGAAUGGUUGGCUGUAUUUAUCUUUCACCAGCAGCUCUAGAGCUCCAUCUACUGGUUCUGUUACCCUCAAGUAGAACCUCUCCAUAACCUGUUGGGAAGCAAAAACAAGUAUUUCACUAUUAAAAGCUGCAAUAUGUAACCCCGACCAAAUUCACAUAGGAAUGUGAGUUAUAGAUCUGUCAUUGUCAUUGAAAGCAAGUCUAAAAAGCAGUAGAUCUGUUCUAUAUGCACUAU